rnacentral:rRNA from 2 species
AGUCGAACGGUGAAGCCAAGCUUGCUUGGUGGAUCAGUGGCGAACGGGUGAGUAACACGUGAGCAACCUGCCCUGGACUCUGGGAUAAGCGCUGGAAACGGCGUCUAAUACUGGAUAUGAGCUCUCAUCGCAUGGUGGGGGUUGGAAAGAUUUUUCGGUCUGGGAUGGGCUCGCGGCCUAUCAGCUUGUUGGUGAGGUAAUGGCUCACCAAGGCGUCGACGGGUAGCCGGCCUGAGAGGGUGACCGGCCACACUGGGACUGAGACACGGCCCAGACUCCUACGGGAGGCAGCAGUGGGGAAUAUUGCACAAUGGGCGGAAGCCUGAUGCAGCAACGCCGCGUGAGGGAUGACGGCCUUCGGGUUGUAAACCUCUUUUAGCAGGGAAGAAGCGAGAGUGACGGUACCUGCAGAAAAAGCGCCGGCUAACUACGUGCCAGCAGCCGCGGUAAUACGUAGGGCGCAAGCGUUAUCCGGAAUUAUUGGGCGUAAAGAGCUCGUAGGCGGUUUGUCGCGUCUGCUGUGAAAUCCCGAGGCUCAACCUCGGGCCUGCAGUGGGUACGGGCAGACUAGAGUGCGGUAGGGGAGAUUGGAAUUCCUGGUGUAGCGGUGGAAUGCGCAGAUAUCAGGAGGAACACCGAUGGCGAAGGCAGAUCUCUGGGCCGUAACUGACGCUGAGGAGCGAAAGGGUGGGGAGCAAACAGGCUUAGAUACCCUGGUAGUCCACCCCGUAAACGUUGGGAACUAGUUGUGGGGACCAUUCCACGGUUUCCGUGACGCAGCUAACGCAUUAAGUUCCCCGCCUGGGGAGUACGGCCGCAAGGCUAAAACUCAAAGGAAUUGACGGGGACCCGCACAAGCGGCGGAGCAUGCGGAUUAAUUCGAUGCAACGCGAAGAACCUUACCAAGGCUUGACAUACACCAGAACACCGUAGAAAUACGGGACUCUUUGGACACUGGUGAACAGGUGGUGCAUGGUUGUCGUCAGCUCGUGUCGUGAGAUGUUGGGUUAAGUCCCGCAACGAGCGCAACCCUCGUUCUAUGUUGCCAGCACGUAAUGGUGGGAACUCAUGGGAUACUGCCGGGGUCAACUCGGAGGAAGGUGGGGAUGACGUCAAAUCAUCAUGCCCCUUAUGUCUUGGGCUUCACGCAUGCUACAAUGGCCGGUACAAAGGGCUGCAAUACCGUGAGGUGGAGCGAAUCCCAAAAAGCCGGUCCCAGUUCGGAUUGAGGUCUGCAACUCGACCUCAUGAAGUCGGAGUCGCUAGUAAUCGCAGAUCAGCAACGCUGCGGUGAAUACGUUCCCGGGUCUUGUACACACCGCCCGUCAAGUCAUGAAAGUCGGUAACACCUGAAGCCGGUGGCCCAACCCUUGUGGAGGGAGCCGUCGAAG